rnacentral:lncRNA from 1 species
CUUUUUCUUCCUUUAGGGUGCACUAGCUGUGCUUGUUCUCCAGUUGGCCAGGCAGAUCCCAUGGUUGAGCCCCGUGCCAGGGGCAGGAAGAGAGGACGGGCAUCCCCGAGUGGGCGGGUUCCUCACUUCUCUGGUGCCUCAUCAGCACUCAGUGCCAGCUGCAGGUUCAUCCAAUUGCCACAGUAACCAGAAGGUUCCCUGCUUCCUGCUGGGAGGGAUUCCAGAUGCUGCACCAGAGAAUCCAUCCUCUGGCAUCCCCUCGGGGCAAGGAAAGCACCAGCUCUGCCCAGAAACAGAGAAGCAUUCAUUCCCUGAGAGCUGCAGCACCAGCCUGGGGCCAGCCCACUGCAGUGUACAG